rnacentral:rRNA from 1 species
GAAUAGGGGAGCCGAAGGGAAACCGAGUCUUAACUGGGCGCUAAGUUGCAGGGUAUAGACCCGAAACCCGGUGAUCUAGCCAUGGGCAGGUUGAAGGUUGGGUAACACUAACUGGAGGACCGAACCGACUAAUGUUGAAAAAUUAGCGGAUGACUUGUGGCUGGGGGUGAAAGGCCAAUCAAACCGGGAGAUAGCUGGUUCUCCCCGAAAGCUAUUUAGGUAGCGCCUCGUGAAUUCAUCUCCGGGGGUAGAGCACUGUUUCGGCAAGGGGGUCAUCCCGACUUACCAACCCGAUGCAAACUGCGAAUACCGGAGAAUGUUAUCACGGGAGACACACGGCGGGUGCUAACGUCCGUCGUGAAGAGGGAAACAACCCAGACCGCCAGCUAAGGUCCCAAAGUCAUGGUUAAGUGGGAAACGAUGUGGGAAGGCCCAGACAGCCAGGAUGUUGGCUUAGAAGCAGCCAUCAUUUAAAGAAAGCGUAAUAGCUCACUGGUCGAGUCGGCCUGCGCGGAAGAUGUAACGGGGCUAAACCAUGCACCGAAGCUGCGGCAGCGACACUAUGUGUUGUUGGGUAGGGGAGCGUUCUGUAAGCCUGUGAAGGUGGCCUGUGAGGGUUGCUGGAGGUAUCAGAAGUGCGAAUGCUGACAUAAGUAACGAUAAAGCGGGUGAAAAGCCCGCUCGCCGGAAGACCAAGGGUUCCUGUCCAACGUUAAUCGGGGCAGGGUGAGUCGACCCCUAAGGCGAGGCCGAAAGGCGUAGUCGAUGGGAAACAGGUUAAUAUUCCUGUACUUGGUGUUACUGCGAAGGGGGGACGGAGAAGGCUAUGUUGGCCGGGCGACGGUUGUCCCGGUUUAAGCGUGUAGGCUGGUUUUCCAGGCAAAUCCGGAAAACCAAGGCUGAGGCGUGAUGACGAGGCACUACGGUGCUGAAGCGACAAAUGCCCUGCUUCCAGGAAAAGCCUCUAAGCAUCAGGUAACAUCAAAUCGUACCCCAAACCGACACAGGUGGUCAGGUAGAGAAUACCAAGGCGCUUGAGAGAACUCGGGUGAAGGAACUAGGCAAAAUGGUGCCGUAACUUCGGGAGAAGGCACGCUGAUAUGUAGGUGAAGCGACUUGCUCGUGGAGCUGAAAUCAGUCGAAGAUACCAGCUGGCUGCAACUGUUUAUUAAAAACACAGCACUGUGCAAACACGAAAGUGGACGUAUACGGUGUGACGCCUGCCCGGUGCCGGAAGGUUAAUUGAUGGGGUUAGCGGUAACGCGAAGCUCUUGAUCGAAGCCCCGGUAAACGGCGGCCGUAACUAUAACGGUCCUAAGGUAGCGAAAUUCCUUGUCGGGUAAGUUCCGACCUGCACGAAUGGCGUAAUGAUGGCCAGGCUGUCUCCACCCGAGACUCAGUGAAAUUGAACUCGCUGUGAAGAUGCAGUGUACCCGCGGCAAGACGGAAAGACCCCGUGAACCUUUACUAUAGCUUGACACUGAACAUUGAGCCUUGAUGUGUAGGAUAGGUGGGAGGCUUUGAAGUGUGGACGCCAGUCUGCAUGGAGCCGACCUUGAAAUACCACCCUUUAAUGUUUGAUGUUCUAACGUUGGCCCCUAAUCGGGGUUGCGGACAGUGUCUGGUGGGUAGUUUGACUGGGGCGGUCUCCUCCUAAAGAGUAACGGAGGAGCACGAAGGUUGGCUAAUCCUGGUCGGACAUCAGGAGGUUAGUGCAAUGGCAUAAGCCAGCUUGACUGCGAGCGUGACGGCGCGAGCAGGUGCGAAAGCAGGUCAUAGUGAUCCGGUGGUUCUGAAUGGAAGGGCCAUCGCUCAACGGAUAAAAGGUACUCCGGGGAUAACAGGCUGAUACCGCCCAAGAGUUCAUAUCGACGGCGGUGUUUGGCACCUCGAUGUCGGCUCAUCACAUCCUGGGGCUGAAGUAGGUCCCAAGGGUAUGGCUGUUCGCCAUUUAAAGUGGUACGCGAGCUGGGUUUAGAACGUCGUGAGACAGUUCGGUCCCUAUCUGCCGUGGGCGCUGGAGAACUGAGGGGGGCUGCUCCUAGUACGAGAGGACCGGAGUGGACGCAUCACUGGUGUUCGGGUUGUCAUGCCAAUGGCACUGCCCGGUAGCUAAAUGCGGAAGAGAUAAGUGCUGAAAGCAUCUAAGCACGAAACUUGCCCCGAGAUGAGUUCUCCCUGAGACUUAGAGUCUCCUGAAGGAACGUUGAAGACGACGACGUUGAUAGGCCGGGUGUGUAAGCGCAGCGAUGCGUUGAGCUAACCGGUACUAAUGAACCGUGAGGCUUAACCUU